CAAUGGGGUAGGUUCCGGGUUCAAGGGUUUAGUCCCUCAGUUCAUGAGUCUGUCCUUCCUCUUCUCCAUCUGCUUUGGUAGAAACAUGCUCUGACCUCAGAAGGGGAACAGCAUCUCCAAGAACCAGAUGAAAAAAAAGAGGAAGUCCUCAUCUUGGGUUUAAAGCACAAGUUUGGAGUGUCACCAAAAGGCAAGACAAACUGCUUCAGACCAGCGAAAAAGCCACUCUUGAUCUUUGGAAUGAAGUCCAAGGGGAGUCUCAACCUUUAUCUUUGUACUGAGUGGGUUGGGUGAUGCAAAUGUAUAUGGUCUGUCCUUGGCAAAGAAAAGGUCAAUUUGAAGAUUUUGAUUAUGUGAUUACUACGGCUGUGUUGAGGUAACCUUGGUGUAUCCUCUGAGAGUUCAUAUGAAUGGACUCUAAUGGACUACACUUUUGUAUUCAUCAAGGAAGAUCUGGUGAAGCAAUGCGGCACCUCUGCAAACAGUGUAGGUUGAGAGCCCUUUUUCACGAUUAAAGGUCAUGGAAACAUUUCUUCACAGGAGAGCCAAGAUGAUUCUAAAAGUUCUUAUGCCAUUAAAGAAGUUCAUGCAUAUCA